GAUGAACGCUAGCGGCGUGCCUAAUACAUGCAAGUCGAGCGAACGGACGAGAAGCUUGCUUCUCUGAUGUUAGCGGCGGACGGGUGAGUAACACGUGGAUAACCUACCUAUCAGACUGGGAUAACUUCGGGAAACCGGAGCUAAUACCGGAUAAUAUUUUGAACCGCAUGGUUCAAAAGUGAAAGACGGUCUUGCUGUCACUUAUAGAUGGAUCCGCGCUGCAUUAGCUAGUUGGUAAGGUAACGGCUUACCAAGGCAACGAUGCAUAGCCGACUUGAGAGGGUGAUCGGCCACACGGGAAGUGAGACACGGUCCAGACUCCUACAGGAGGCAGCAGUAGGGAAUCUUACGCAAUGGGCGAAAGCCUGACGGAGCAACGCCGCGUGAGUGAUGAAGGUCUUCGGAUCGUAAAACGCUGUUAUUAGUGAAGAACAUAUGUGUAAGUAACUGUGCACAUCUUGACGGUACCUAAACAGAAAGCCACGGCUAACUACGUG
rnacentral:rRNA from 1 species